UAUGGCCAUAUCACAUUGAAACACUGCUUAUCGUCUGAUCACUAAAGUUAAGCAAUGUCAUGCUAGGUCAGUACCUAGAUGGGUUACUACUUGUGAAUACCAGGUGGUGUA